rnacentral:lncRNA from 1 species
UUUAAACAAACCAGUAGAACGUAUUGCAGCAAAAUUAAACAUUAAAAGUUGCAAAAUCAGAUGACAUUUUCUCCCAGCACCGGUGCAUUAGUUUGCUCUCAGGAAACUCUGUUCAAAAUAGAAUGGCUGACCGUAACUGUGCAUUUAUUGUUGUGGCGUACAUUAAUAGCAUCCAUUUGUUUGUUAUUCAGAGUCGCAGCACCUCUGUCGAUGCGGAGGUCACGGCCGCCACCGCCGACCCCGGUGAGGGCACCAGCGCGAGCGGGCCGCCGGCGAUGGACAUUGAGGAGAGCUGGCUCGUUAUCGACGAUGCAGUCGACCACCUGCUGCACCGCGCUGGCGAGCACGGAGCUGUGUUUCAGCUAUCCCCAGUACCCAUGGCCGCAAGUUCGAGCUGGCAUGCUCUACGUGGAGGAUGAGACGGUUGUCGAGUUCAAAGAGCUAUAACCUCGGCGGUCGACUUAAGUGACCAGCUGCCGGGACAGAGACUGACCGGCAGAGUUCUGUUGGUGCCUCAUACUUUUCUCUGUUUGUUUCUGUUUUCUGUUCCGCAAGUUUUUGUCAUUAUAACUAGUUGCAGUUGAAUUAGCUUGUUGCAGUUCGUUUAUGUUUUGCUGCAGAGUGUCCCUUAACCGUUAAGAGACGUGAAACGUUGGACGCUAAUGAAUGAGAUACAAGGCACUUUGAUGUUAAGCACAGGCAGAGCUUUGGAGUCGUAAAUGUAUCAGUUAACCAAACCAUUGAAACUGUUUUUGCGUAUGAUUAUUCGGAAACUGCGUCUUUCACAUGCCAUGGUUGCACGACCUUUCUAUAGAAUACGAAAUAACAUAAUCGCACAUAAGACUGUGAAAUAGAAAGCUACUUGGUAUAAUAGUCUGCUCCUUAUGAUCGGUUCCUAUAGCUGGUCUGGUCUUGCAACCAGCUAUGAUCAUUGAGCGUUACCGUCCAUAAUAGGUUGUCCAGCUUGCUUGUUCGUAUGUGCAUGAAAUACAGAUUUAACUUUGC